rnacentral:rRNA from 1 species
UACGGGGGGGGCAAGCGUUGUUCGGAAUUACUGGGCGUAAAGGGCUCGUAGGCGGCCAACUAAGUCAGACGUGAAAUCCCUCGGCUUAACCGGGGAACUGCGUCUGAUACUGGAUGGCUUGAGGUUGGGAGAGGGAUGCGGAAUUCCAGGUGUAGCGGUGAAAUGCGCAGAUAUCGGGAGGAACACCGGUGGCGAAGGCGGUUCUCUGGGCCUUACCUGACGCUGAGGAGCGAAAGCGUGGGGAGCGAACAGG